AGAAGAGAAUCCCAGAGAAUAUCCACUCUUAAGUGAUGGGCAGAGGAAGAGGAACUUGAAAUAAUCCCAAGAAGAAAUAGGUGGACAGGUAGGAGGAAAACUAGGAGAGGGUGGUGCCGUUUGAUCCAAGAAGACAGUCCCAAGUAACAGAGUAGAUGGGCAAGGACAUGAUUGUGCUUCUUACUUCCAGUGCAUUUCCAAACUCUUGUUGGAGAAGUUUCUUAAGUUCUGUCUUGCUCAGCCUCUGAAAGUCUCCGUCACUUUUUGCGUAAGAGUGGAAAACGUCGAUGAUACUGACGAUGCUUCUCAGAAGACAAUGAGGCAUCUUGUUUAGCCAACUGGAGUGCACCUGGAAUGGGACAAAGAAUCCCCAGUUUAUUUCAUAUUCCUGAAUUGCUGCAAUCUCUUCUUUCUCCAUCUCUUGGAGGCAGAUUUCAGUGUAAAGAUUUGACCUAUUUGUAAUGCCAGAUGUCUAGUUGGCUCUGGAAAUUUGUGAAAUUUUUAGUUCAUAUAUCAUUUGCCAUGAUAGUAAUCUUACUAUAAUCCCUAAAAAGAAGAGGGGCAAAACUGAACAGGCUCCCUUGCUUCUGUAUCCAUGAAUGCUCUGCAUAGAAAUCACUUGGAAUGAAGAUGGCACUGCCUCUGCUUCCACAUCUAGUGUGUGGAUAGUGCUGAUGGGAAGGUCGCAAAGGGCUGUUGAUACUGUACUGCCUGAGCCAGGGAGUAAAAUGCAGGUUGAGAGAAUCAAUCUGCAUUAAAUUGUCUUUUUCUUUGUACUUAACCCUGUUAUGAUAUAUAUCACAUUGUACUUUAAUUGCUUGUUUUUUAUCUGACUCCUUUAUUGUUUUAUUUUUAAUUUUUUUAGGGCCACGCCUAUGGCAUAUGGAAGUUCCUAGGCUAGGGGUCGAAUUGGAGCUACAGCUGCCGACAUAUGCCACAGCCACAGCAAUGCGGGAUCCGAGCUGAGUCUGCAACCUACACCUCAGCUCAGGGCAAUCCCUGGCCUCCUUAACCCACUGAGCAAGGCCAGGGAUUGAAUCUGCAUCCUCAUGGAUACUAGUCGGGUUCAAUUCCACUGAGCCAUGACAGGAACUCCUCUGACUUCUUUAAAGAUUGUUCUGUGAGGGGCCAGACCAUAUCAUCUCUAUUUUAUAUUUAUCCUAGUGUCUAGAAUAUAAUAGACGUUCAGUAAGUGUUUUAUGCAUGGAUACAGGAGCCAGUGAAUGAUUCCUAGUUGGAGUGCUUUGUUGGAUUAGAUCUGUGGUUCCCACUCAUUGCUCUACUGUGGGAUCACCAGGAGAAACUUUAGAGAAAUAAAGACUCCAGGUUCCACCUCCAGAAAUAGUGACUCAGGAGGUAUGUAGUGGGACCCUGGACUCUACAUUUAAAAAGCUCCUGGCUGAUUCCAAUGCAGCUUCUAGAACUGCUGGCCACCUGACCUCUGAGGUCUUUUGCAGCCAGAAGUUUACGUGACAGCAAUAGUGAUGAAUUAACUGGUUCAACUAGCAUCUGUUAACUAUUUCUUUGGUGCCACUGCUGUGGUGUGUUCUAGAAAUGUGAGAGGAAUAAGAAACCGUUCCUUUCUUCAAGGAACUUGAUGCCUGGAGGAGGAGGUACAGAGUAGCACAAUAAAGUCCAAUAAUGUACAUGUAGCAGUGGUUGGAGACCAAGGCAGGAAGUGUCCUUCAGAGGCCACCCUUCCUGAAGAUGAUAGAGGAGUAUUCUCAAAACAAUAGCUUUUAAGCAAAACCCACUAGGAUUUUGCCCCUCUUUUCCUAAUAAGGACCUGUCAUUGUUGGCAAUGUCAUAGAAUGCUCCAGAAAGGCAAAAUUACAACAGCAGAGUUUAGUUGUCUAUGUAAGAGUACCAAGAAAAGGAAACUUAUAAAAACAGAAAUAGAAUUUUUUUCUUGAGGACUUACCUAAGUUGCCAAGAAAAUGGAGGACUCAGCUGAGAGCAUGUAGAAUACUGGGUUUGCUUAUAUAGGGGUUUUAAUUGCACCUUUUAGCCAGAAAUCUUUUGCAGACAACACCCGUGGUGUGUGAUGGACUGAUUCAUUGCCAGCCAAACUGCAUUCCACCUGUUUCUUCUCCGUUGGGCUUUUUAAUCUCAGCAUUUCCUUGAAUACCACUCCUAUUUUGCAUUCUCUCAGCCUGGCCCCCAGGGGACAGCUACGUCUCACACUCACCAUAAGGCCAUAGCACCACCAGAGUGUGUUGACAAGAUGCUAAAUUGCUCUCAAGAAAAACUCUGUGAACCAACAAUAUGUUCAUCUCUUGGAGGUAAAAUAUGUUGAUUCUUAAAUUUGAGCCAUUUCAGUCCUAAACGAGGUCUCUUUCCUAGUUUUCAACAGCACAUUUGAUUUGUCUGUGUUGGGGCUGAAGGAUUUGAUUACAUUAGAUGUUUGCUCUCAUGUGAUGAGCCACACAAAUCUGGCCUGUCUUAACUCCCAUCUGGCUUGUUCCCUCACCAAUGUUCCUCUCACCUCUGUUCCUUGUGACCCGUCUCUCUGUGUCCAAAUGCGGUCAAAGCAUAAGGUGCUCACACUGCAUUGAAGAUAAUACUUUUCUUUUUUUUUUUUUCCUGCUUCUCACGGCAUAUGGAGGGUCCCAGGCUAGGGGUCCAAUUGGAGCUACAGCUGCCGGCCUACACCACAGCCACAGCAACACCAGAUCCGAGCCAUGUCUUCUACCUACACCACUGCUCUCGGCAUCACCGGAUCCUUAACCCACUAGGCGAAGCCAGGUAUCAAACCCCAAACCUCCUGGUUCCUAGUUGGAGUCGUUUCCAUUGUGCCACGAUGGGAACUCUGAUAAUACUUUUCUUUUUUGAUGAUCACAGCAGUUUGGACCCAGGAGAGAGUCUGCGAGCUGCCAAGUUAGUGGACCAGUCCAUUGAACUUUCACAGCUUUUCUAGAAUUUCGCCAAUUCUAUAAAACCCAGGAACAUUUCUAUUAGGUUCUGUUCCCUUUGACUAUCAUAAAUCUAGAAGGAAGAUUUUUCAUUAUUAUUAAAAACCCUUUUCAGUUUCACCAGCUUACAAAUUGUUCCUUGGUUUAUAAAGAAAUUAUGUAUGGGUGGAUGCACUCUUAUAGAAUCUUUUAUGACAGUCAAAAUAAUUUCCACUUAUCUUUUUUGAAGAAAAUUUGCAGACUUUUCUUAGAGAUAGCUAGUCUUUAUUAAUCCUAAUAGCUACAGGGUAAACUGUAUCAGUUGCCUUGUGGCUAUGACAAACUGAUAAGAACUGUAUUUUCUGAGGAGCUUGACAGUUCCUUUUUUGCUAGUUUGAUUUUGAAAACAGCUCCAGGAGCAGAUAUUUUUAUCUCCAUUUCACUAAAGGAAAUACUGAGGCCACAGGAGGUGGUUGUUUUCCCAAAGUAGCCGUGGGCCUGGAUCCCAAAUCUUUGUACCUCUAAUUUGGUUUAAGUCACUUAUGUGGCUUUGUGGCUUCGUAUAUUAAUGUAGUAAAGACAUUUUGAAUUUUUUUCCCAGAGUCUGUAACAAAAACACGAAAUGUCAGUUCUACUGUUUCUCUCCUGAACAUGCCCAUGGCCCUGGGUGAUUUUUUUCAGCAAAUGCCAAAAGUAUAUUAUUUAUUUUUAAAAAAAUGAAACAAAAAAGCUUUUGUAAGAAGGUAUUCCAAAUAUUUGAUUCCAUAAUAAUAUUUCACUAUUUUUGAAUUUGUGUUGGAACCUCUGUCAUGCCCAUAUUCAGAGGGCCCUCAGGCAUGGGCUGAAAUGUUUUCUAGCGACUGAAGGAGGAUGAGGGAGGCCUGACCCCCUCCCCCCAGUCCUCAUGCCACCCACCCGCCUGUGACCACGGGGGAGCAGGUUGUCCUGCGUGCUAGGGGCAGGGGCCUGAUGAAUGGGCUUCCUCUGGUCAUUAGUUGCCAUCUUUGGGUUGAGUAAUAACAGUAAUACAGAUAAUUCUUGCUUUUAAAGGAAUCGUCCUUGGGUAAAUGUCUUUGCACCCUCUUGGUAAAUCAGUCUUUGGCAGCCAGGCCUGCUGCCUCUGUUUUUUUUUUUUUUUUAAUAAAAGAAAAUAAGCUUUAUUUUUUAAAGCACUUCUUAGUUCACAACAAUAAUGAGCAGAAGAUUCAGUCAUUUCCCACAUGUUCAUUGCCCCCCUCCCCCCACAGGCAUAGCCUCUCCCACUGGCAACCUGUACAUCAUUAUUUUAAACAUAGUAUGUAUUGUUAAACUUAUAUAGUUAUACGCGUAUCUUUUAUACAUUCUAGGAAUGGCAAAGACCGAAUUAUAGCAUAUUGUUUUUCAGAUAGAUACAUUU
rnacentral:lncRNA from 1 species